UUUCGCAAUGCCCGAAAGGGUGACGAAGCGACGCCGCGUGCGGGAAGAAGGCCUUCGGGUUGUAAACCGCUGUCGGGAGUUAAGAAAUGUAAGGAUGAUAAUAGCAUCUUUGCUUGACUAAGGCUCCGGAGGAAGCCACGGCUAACUCUGUACCAGCAGCCGCGGUAAUACAGGGGCGGCAAGCGUUGUUCGGAAUUAUUGGGCGUAAAGAGCACGUAGGCGGCUAUGUAAGUCGGUUGUGAAAGCCUUCCGCCCAACGGGAGAACAGCAUCCGAUACUGCAUGGCUUGAGUGCGGGAGGUGAGAGUGGAACUUCUGGUGGAGCGGUGAAAUGCGUAGAUAUCAGAAGGAACGCCGGCGGCGAAAGCGGCUCUCUGGCCCAUAACUGACGCUGAGUGUGCGAAAGCUAGGGGAGCAAACGGGAUUAGAUACCCCGGUAGUCCUAGCCGUAAACGAUGGGCACUAAGUAGAGGGGUUUUA
rnacentral:rRNA from 1 species